UGGGAACCUUCCCUAUGGUUCGGAAUAGCUCAGGGGAAACUUGGGGUAAUACCGGAUAAGCCCUUCGGGGGAAAGAUUUAUCGCCAUUGGAUGGGCCCGCGUCGGAUUAGCUAGUUGGUNAGGUAACGGCGUCACCAAGGCGACGAUCCGUAGCUGGUCUGAGAGGAUGAUCAGCCACACUGGGACUGAGACACGGCCCAGACUCCUACGGGAGGCAG
rnacentral:rRNA from 1 species